UCCUGUUCCAAUUUUGGCGGUACAAACGGCAGCAUCUUAAUCGUUUUAAUCCGACUAUUUGCCCCUGGUGACUUUGGUCUACAUUUCCGUUUCAUCGACCGUAAUGACCACAACUACGACUGUUGUGUGGUACCACACACGUAUCGACAUCCAUCCAUGGUUUCGCUCAACGUUCUCGAUCUCUUUUUACCUGCAGCGCUACCAGUAGUCCAUUUAAAGUGCAAUGUUUUGACCCAUCCUCGCGCCUCCAGCUGUCGAUGCCUCAGUGUGAGCCAAUACACCUCGCUUGCGCCAACGACGGGCAGAAACAGAAGGCGAGAGAUCGCAUCGUAGGGCCGCUUUCAAUGGUAUCUCUCGCGGACCCGUCUGUCGUCUGCUCCGGGGAUCUUCGUUAUCCACACAGCACUCCUCACCACGGCUCUGUGUGCGCCAGGGGUUAUCGUCAUAGUCGUCGAUGUGCUUGAGAAGUCAAGUGCAGGUUCAGCAGACUACAAAGAGACACCGAGCGAACGUGUGUGAUCAGGUGGUGCGGGACACAUCUGAUAUACCGUAGGCUGUGGUGGCAGCGGUCACUUUACGAAAUUACGUUAUAUUGCAGUCAGUUGAGAUUUGCAGGUGGAACGCUGUUGUUUUCGUAGUUGCUCGCUGCAAGGAGUACCUGACCGUCACGGUUCAAAUCUGCUCCCACAAGGCGAAGGAUUGUAACGGCAUUAGCAGCGACUGUAAUCGCUUGUGUGUGUAUGUGUUGCGUGUUUGUGUGAGGUGGAUUUGCCGUGGCUCUGUGGCUGUUAUUGCCUGCACAGUCUUCGCAAAAUGGAUCUUUCUGAACUUAUUGCGCCAAGGUGCAUGGCAGGCAGCAAAUAGGUACGAUCGAUCUUCUGUCAAUUUAGUCGUGUUUAAAGCCUUGUAUUGAAAAGACGUUUAUCGCUAAAAAUUCGGUAUUAUCUGCUGAGGUCAAAAAACUGCACGAAUAUAAUUUGUGUGGAAAAUAGAGAAAACCCUCGGAGGAGAGUUUAAGUACGUGCGUAUGUUUGUCAAAAGUUGUUUCUCCGUUGUGUCACGGAUUCCGACGGCAACCACGCUUGCCUGUAUAAUACGUAGGCGAACAGCUGCAGGUGAAGCUGUAAUGGACCCUUGCCGCGUUAUGAAAUAGCGAAGAUGAAAGCUGAAUCAAUGUCAAAUUCACUCUCGACCACGGGUUACACCUGACAUAUCUCCACAAGCGGAACCGAUAUUACGGGACUCGCUGUCUCCUAACCCGAUUCACCUAUAUGAAAAUUUUUAUAUACUUUCAUGUAGGGAAUCUUAAAAGUCACUUUGACCACAAACUGCAAUUUCUGUUUUGCCUACGUCUUACGGGCCUGUCGACGCAGCAAUCGACGUAUGUAUUGCGGGCCUCGGUAUGAAUGUUUAUACUUAGCAGCAGUGAAUGACUACGAACUUGGGGUGUUGGUAUCGUCAAACAAGAUUACCCCUCAGUGGUUUGCGGCAAUUUGAAGCGUCUUCCUCAUUGAAACCGCAAACGAGCCUGUGACUGGCUAAAAAAGACAGCACUCAGUGGUUAAGUGGUAAAGUGGUCCGCACCAGGUAGACACCUUUUAAACCUCGAAUAAGUCAGCUUACUUCAUGAUCAGUGGAUCGUCGUCUUGAGUCAUUGAAUUUUUUGAGACCUUCGACCCUGGCCGAAAUCCAGUCCUGCUCACAUGGCAUACCUGAGACACAGAUUGAGAAAGCGGGUGUAAUAAUGUCAUAGGGACGUUGUAUCCGGUUGAAUUAAUUAACACAACCUACACAUGAACGAUCAACUGAAAGCGGUAUCGAUGCUCGAUUAUGUUUGUUUAUCCGAAAAGGAUAAGCCCGUUAUUUGUCUAGAUAUACUUGAGUCCGAAGCAGUCCAAGAAAAGAAGCGUCUAUUGAGAAAUGCUUCAGUGCGGUUGAUGCUCUGGACUGAUUGAUAAUGAAUACACGAUCAUAGAUACGGAGCACAGCCUAACACAGGAAUAAAUUAAAAAAAAAAAACUGUGAUAACUAGGAGCAGCAAUUGCGUUAUCAGUAGUAUGCAUCACAUAACACGCAAGCACAGACACCCAUGCGUGCACCAACUUAGGUAUAGGUAGACAGUAAAAGAUACAAGGCUCAGGAAUAGCGGCAGAUGGUUGGCCCAACUUGAUGAGGACUCGAUGGGAAUCAAGGCACAGGGCAACGUCCACUUUAAUCGAAAACACAGCAAUUUUGACGAAAACUGUUAAUCGAAUUUGACAUCAAGUACUUAGUUUUGAAGAGACUCCACGAACACUGUGCACAAAUGUGCUGUAUUAAUAAACUGUGCUCUAGGAAGUGUUGUAAUUCGUUCGGUUUUGCUUUGUUUGUGACGUUGCCCGAAGAUGAUUGACUGGCCAUACCAACACGUGUUGGAAAUACCUUUAAUUGCGUAUGCGUGGUUAAGGUGAAAAGCUCAGCUGGAUCAGCAUGGAUUGCGUUGCCCGUGUCAAGUGGAAUGUGACUGAGUGUGAUUGUUAUGAUAUAAAAAUCUUGUUGUUGUGAUCUGAACAUACUGGCAGUAUUAUUUUGUUAUAGGCGAUAGGAAAAACAUCAAGCGGACGAGGAAGACUGUCAAUACUGUCAGGUGCGUCUUGUUAGUCAUACGAUCUACGGACCUUGGACUUGUUGUUUAAUCCAGCAGUUACCACCUCGUGCUGGCAAGAGCAUACUGUCUGACAGAGAAACGCGCAUAUCCGUCCAUUCUGCGUGGUUAGCUAGAUGAAAGUUGGAAAGACGCCUAAUGGAGUUGCGCUUAAAAGACAGAACCGCUGCGUCAGUCUGUUCGGUUCAGUUAGCGGAAAGUAUUUCGGACCGCCUGAAGCAGUCGGAGCUCAAUCGAGUGCCGGACGGACGAUAUGAAUAAAUUAACUGUUUUGCAUCUUAAAGGACAACCCAAGAUGUGACGGCCCAUGUAACACUUCACUUCAACGUGUUCUUACGUUGUUAAUUAAAACUAGUUAAUUCUUCGCAGCAACCCUGGCCAACAUUUCAUUCUGGGCCCGAAACAGAGGUCAGCGUUACUACGUUCCUCAUUCCUCCACACAAAAGCAAAACUCAAAAAAUUCUCUCCGUUACUUGCAUCAUCAUGUCACUGCCGAGCCGAGAAGGAACUUCAUCAGCGGUGCUAGAGUCUUCUUCAACGUACCGCCGAAACAGCAGUGACGACAUGGAGAUCCGAAGACGUUGUAUUACGGUGCUAAACAAUGAUCUCGAUGCUGACCUUGGCAUGUUUGACGACACAGUAAGCUGUUUGUCGGAUCCGCACGUGUUCGCGCCACCUGGAACGCCACAGGAAGAUGCUUCUGACGAUGAUACUAACCUGGACUCGGAUGACAUUGUCUCGUCGUCGGAUGUCGAUGGCUUGAACCUCCCGCAGCGUGCAGCCGAGCAGGCCGAACAACUCAUGCGAAAGGUUCUUGACGAAGCGGAGCAGGCUGAACAGCUCGUACUUAAGGUAUUGGAAGAGGCUUGGAAGGUGUGCCACUUUAGCUCGCUGCCUCAGUGGCUACAGGAUAAUGACUUCCUGCAUCGAGGUCACCGUCCACCCCUUCCGUCGUUCUCGGCCUGUUUCCGCUCCAUCUUUCGAAUUCACACAGAGACUGGAAACAUUUGGACACAUCUACUGGGCUGUUUGUGGUUUCUUGGCAUUGCCAUCUACUUCCUAGCACAGCCCUCGGAUUAUCUACAAUGGCAGGAAAAACUGGUAUUUGCAACAUUUUUUACGGGUGCGAUCCUCUGCAUGGGCAUGAGCUUUGCGUACCACACGGUAUCCUGUCAUUCCGAACAAGUUGGAAAACUUUUUUCAAAAUUUGACUACUGUGGCAUUGCGCUGCUAAUCAUCGGAUCAUUCGUGCCGUGGCUCUAUUAUGGUUUUUACUGCUCGUUCCAGCCGAAGCUCGUCUACCUAAGCGUCGUCAUCGUUCUCGGAAUCACUGCCGUUGUCGUGUCAUUAUGGGACAAAUUCGGCACUCCUAAAUACCGACCGCUGCGCGUUGGCGUGUUCACGGGCUUCGGAUUGAGCGGCGUGAUUCCUGCUGUGCACUAUAUCUACUCGAAAGGCUUAAUUUCAGCGUUUUCGCACGCCUCGUUCGGCUGGCUUUGCCUAAUGGCCUUCCUCUAUAUUCUUGGCGCAGCACUGUACGCCCUACGUGUUCCUGAGAGAUGGUUCCCAGGAAAGUGUGACAUUCUGUUUCACAGCCAUCAACUAUUCCAUAUUCUAGUGAUAGCUGCGGCAUUCGUCCACUAUCACGGAAUAACCGAAAUGGCUAUGAGCCGGCUUAGUAUGGGACAAUGCGACGAACUCGGGAACACCCCGAAGGUCAUCACGUACUAGAUAAAUGAGGGAGAAAGCAAAAAGAUUCGAGACAAUGGCCUCUCGCUCCAAUCGGAAGGACAGCGCCCGUCAACAACGAAAUUAACUGGAAGGAGAAAGACGCAUGUUCGGGGUCUUUUCACUGGUGAUCAUCUGGUCGUCACUGAUGAAACGAUGUGAAAAAGGAGUAUUGCUUCGUAGAAUUGCAUCAGCUCGAAAAACGAGGCUAUAGAUAAAUGGUGGCAAUACGUAGUUUUGAUUAGACACUACAGCGCUUAUGAGUGCUGAUGUGUUUGUGCUAAUCUGUGUUAUUCUUGCAUUUUGGUUUAAUCCUGACUAGUAGAGUUCGUGAGUCUAUUCUAAAUAGAUCUCAAUCUUCCAGAGGUCAAAAAAGGGUGGCUUCUCUAUGCAAAAUGUGUAUCGUCCAAGUUCCAUUAUUACCCGCAGUAACUUUUACUGAAAUAUUCAUUGCUCGAUGAGAUAUUGAGUUAGCUGUGAAAGUAUGUGGAUUAGGCAGUCGAAGAUGUCGAAACGAACUCACAGGGUCGAUCUCAGGUUCUACCUGACUCAGGUUCCACGUGAGGACCCGCGAUCGUCGUUCGGCUCCAAAUACAUUGAAGUUUGACAGCGCAACGUAACCACUUAUUGAGCUGAUUUUCGGGUCGAAAAAUAUCUGAAAUAAAAUGGCCUUUUGCCCGUCUAUUCCUCUUUAGAGCAAUUUAACCGUGGCUUUUUAUGUGAAAUUUUCGCUUCUCUACUUGAAAGAGAUAGAACUGACAACGACAUUGUAGAAGCGCCAACCCCUUUUAGGCCCAUGGGUGAAAAGUAUGUGAUACGUAGACAAGUAAUAAUGAUUUCAUACUAUAUUUUGUUAUUAUAUUAAUACCUCGUACAACUUGAAUGCCAACAGGCUAACACCGACCACACUAAAGAAGCGACUGUCCCAUGUAUCAGCUUUGCUAUGACUAGAAACACUGAAAUGAUGAAAUGGUGGCUUACAUCAUGUACACGAUCCGAGUGUGAGAGAGAGAGAGAGAAACAGUGACAAGAACCCUUUCAACACCUAAAAAGUCGCUACUUAUCGGUAGAACAAAAAAGCUCCUUGCACUUAAUACGCACCCAAAUAUUGAACAGUUAGUCACACUUCUACACACCCAUGAAAAAUACAGACAGAUACGCAUAGGAGUGACAUUUCUAUCCAGCUGCCCUUGGAGACCUGAUGAUGCGGUUAAUUUUGCAGUGAUUUAUUUACGUUAGUUCAAAUUGCUUACAUUUGGAUAAGCGCUGUGAGUGGUUAGGACAAAAACGAUAAACAGUUCAUACAUUGAAUAGAAAAUAUAUAUAUAUAUAUAUAUAUAAAAGGGAUCAAAGCAACGGACCUCGAUGAGCGGAGGAAAGGAAAAACAAAUAACAUAUUUUGAUAAGAUUAGUCAAAUAAUACAAGUAUGUUAUCCUAACGAGGACAGUAGAUGCUAUAAUCUUUAUUAUUAUAAGACUAUAAUUAUUAGCAGUCACUAGUAUAUGAUUUUACCUAUGAAGAAACUACCUUGUUCCUUAAGUGAUGAUGGAUAUCAGAGAAAACAAAGACAGAAUAAUCGUGAACAUUUUCAUUCAUUAAGUUAUAAAUGUAACCAGUAGUCGAGACAGAUGCUAUAUAGAAAUAUAUAAUAAAAAAUAUAUAGGAAGGUUCAUGCCAAGAAAUGUGGGUACUACGGAUUCGGGCGUGUAGCGGAGUCAGGCCAUAGGAAGCUGUAAUCAAUAUCUGAACGAAUUUUAAAAUAUUUAUUGGACAGAAGACAACGACAGCAAGCGAGGGGAAGAUAUACUCGAGAAGGACAUUAUACUGGAACGUUUAGACGUUAAGCGAAUCAAGUUAGUGUUAAAGCUACUCAGGUAUCACUCUCCGGUGAAAGUAAUAUGGGUUGGAUGUGGUUUAAUAGAUAUUUGUGUGAUGUUUUGAGCAAACAAGCUUUUUACGGGAGGAAAGCGAAAAGCCGGGUAGAAAAACUCAAGAAGUUAUCGACAGGUGGAAAGACGUAGGAGCACAGGGUAGUUUAAAAUUCGGAUUACAGUUAAUUUUUUUGAAAUUUCUGCUUCUCGAUCCUGUCAAACGAAUGAAUUAUUACGUAUCUAUAGGCCCAUCAACUGGUCGACAGUAUAGCGUUUUUAAACCACUGUGUGAAACAACGAGGAUAAACCUCUUUCGUUACCAGAAGUACACUUUAAACAUUCGUGCUGCUAAAAAAAAACUAUCAUUCUUACAUUGUCCUUAUGCCCUUUUCCACAGUAGCUUUCAAAUGUAUAUUCAGAUGCAAAAGGAGGGAGUUACUUCGUACCUGUCUACUAGCUCUACAAAUAACAGAUAAUGUUCUCGAAAGCUCCUAAGUGACAGAAAAUAAAAGCGAGUAAAAAUAAAAAAUCGUCUGCCCAAUGAUUUUCAUAUGUUCUCCAUUUGACGAGAGAAAAAGAUCACCAAAGAGAGAAAAAGCAAGAGAGCGGGAAAAUAAUUAUUUAGAUACUAUAUAAGGUGUAUUAACGUAGAGCUAAACAGAAACAAGCCUAAAAACGCUUUAGAUAGCUAUAACAGUAACCUAAAGAACUAUGAGGAAUUCAAUACGACAACCAGUGAUUUUAGCGGCGAAACAAAGAAAGGGUCAUGAAAAAAGCGCGUUGUCUGAUUCACGACUGGGAAGACAUUUCGCUGUUAGUAUUAAGAAAUAACCUCUGUCUAUUUAAUUGGACCUAAAUGCUCUGGACGAGAAAUGUGCUUGUUGUUGCUUGCAUGUUGAAGUCGUCGAUGAUAGCAGGUUCUUCGAAGGCGGCACAGACCUCGAACAGUUUAUUCCGUAAUGUAUACAUUACGGCGUGCCAGAUAAGCAAAUAGCAAUGCAGUGACAAUGCAGACGUCCGUAGAGUGAAAAUAAAUUAAGAGAAAAAUAACUAAAGUUACCGAAAAUGAUAAUCAUGAUACUAGUGAUGUUUUAAGGUGAUGAUUGUACAUUUUUAAACGUGACGAUCAUUGUGAUAGCGGUUGAACGAGCAACUGAGUGAAUACACGCGUGUAGUCUUUAUUACACAUUGAACAAUAAUUUUAAUAAAAAAAAAAAGGAACAAUGAUAAGUGGAGAUGAGUAA